UACAGAGGUCCCGAGCGUUGUUCGGAUUCAUUGGGCGUAAAGGGUGCGUAGGUGGCGCGGUAAGUCGGGUGUGAAAUCUCGGAGCUUAACUCCGAAAUUGCAUUCGAUACUGCCGUGCUCGAGGACUGGAGAGGAGACUGGAAUUCAUGGUGUAGCAGUGAAAUGCGUAGAGAUCAUGAGGAAGACCAGUGGCGAAGGCGGGUCUCUGGACAGUUCCUGACACUGAGGCACGAAGGCCAAGGGAGCAAACGGG
rnacentral:rRNA from 1 species